UUAAGCGACUAAGCGUACACGGUGGAUGCCCUGGCAGUCAGAGGCGAUGAAGGACGUGCUAAUCUGCGAAAAGCGUCGGUAAGGUGAUAUGAACCGUUAUAACCGGCGAUGUCCGAAUGGGGAAACCCAGUGCAAUUCGUUGCACUAUCGUUAACUGAAUACAUAGGUUAACGAGGCGAACCGGGGGAACUGAAACAUCUAAGUACCCCGAGGAAAAGAAAUCAACCGAGAUUCCCCCAGUAGCGGCGAGCGAACGGGGAGCAGCCCAGAGUCUGAAUCAGCUUGUGUGUUAGUGGAACGGUCUGGAAAGUCCGACGGUACAGGGUGAUAGUCCCGUACACCAAAAUGCACAGGNUGUGAACUCGAAGAGUAGGGCGGGACACGUGGUAUCCUGUCUGAAUAUGGGGGGACCAUCCUCCAAGGCUAAAUACUCCUGACUGACCGAUAGUGAACCAGUACCGUGAGGGAAAGGCGAAAAGAACCCCGGCGAGGGGAGUGAAAAAGAACCUGAAACCGUGUACGUACAAGCAGUGGGAGCACCUUCGGGUGUGACUGCGUACCUUUUGUAUAAUGGGUCAGCGACUUAUAUUCUGUAGCAAGGUUAACCGUAUAGGGGAGCCGCAGGGAAACCGAGUCUUAACUGGGCGUUAAGUUGCAGGGUAUAGACCCGAAACCCGGUGAUCUAGCCAUGGGCAGGUUGAAGGUUGGGUAACACUAACUGGAGGACCGAACCGACUAAUGUUGAAAAAUUAGCGGAUGACUUGUGGCUGGGGGUGAAAGGCCAAUCAAACCGGGAGAUAGCUGGUUCUCCCCGAAAGCUAUUUAGGUAGCGCCUCGUGAANUCAUCUUCGGGGGUAGAGCACUGUUUCGGCUAGGGGGUCAUCCCGACUUACCAACCCGAUGCAAACUACGAAUACCGAAGAAUGUUAUCACGGGAGACACACGGCGGGUGCUAACGUCCGUCGUGAAGAGGGAAACAACCCAGACCGCCAGCUAAGGUCCCAAAGUCAUGGUUAAGUGGGAAACGAUGUGGGAAGGCACAGACAGCCAGGAUGUUGGCUUAGAAGCAGCCAUCAUUUAAAGAAAGCGUAAUAGCUCACUGGUCGAGUCGGCCUGCGCGGAAGAUGUAACGGGGCUAAACCAUGCACCGAAGCUGCGGCAGCGACACUAUGUGUUGUUGGGUAGGGGAGCGUUCUGUAAGCCUGCGAAGGUGUGCUGUGAGGCAUGCUGGAGGUAUCAGAAGUGCGAAUGCUGACAUAAGUAACGAUAAAGCGGGUGAAAAGCCCGCUCGCCGGAAGACCAAGGGUUCCUGUCCAACGUUAAUCGGGGCAGGGUGAGUCGACCCCUAAGGCGAGGCCGAAAGGCGUAGUCGAUGGGAAACAGGUUAAUAUUCCUGUACUUGGUGUUACUGCGAAGGGGGGACGGAGAAGGCUAUGUUAGCCGGGCGACGGUUGUCCCGGUUUAAGCAUGUAGGCUGGUUGUCCAGGCAAAUCCGGAUAAUCAAGGCUGAGGUGUGAUGACGAGGCACUACGGUGCUGAAGUAACAAAUGCCCUGCUUCCAGGAAAAGCCUCUAAGCAUCAGGUAACAUUAAAUCGUACCCCAAACCGACACAGGUGGUCAGGUAGAGAAUACCAAGGCGCUUGAGAGAACUCGGGUGAAGGAACUAGGCAAAAUGGUGCCGUAACUUCGGGAGAAGGCACGCUGGUGUGUAGGUGAAGCCCCUGCGGGUGGAGCUGAGACCAGUCGAAGAUACCAGCUGGCUGCAACUGUUUAUUAAAAACACAGCACUGUGCAAACACGAAAGUGGACGUAUACGGUGUGACGCCUGCCCGGUGCCGGAAGGUUAAUUGAUGGGGUUAUCCGUAAGGAGAAGCUCUUGAUCGAAGCCCCGGUAAACGGCGGCCGUAACUAUAACGGUCCUAAGGUAGCGAAAUUCCUUGUCGGGUAAGUUCCGACCUGCACGAAUGGCGUAAUGAUGGCCAGGCUGUCUCCACCCGAGACUCAGUGAAAUUGAACUCGCUGUGAAGAUGCAGUGUACCCGCGGCAAGACGGAAAGACCCCGUGAACCUUUACUAUAGCUUGACACUGAACAUUGAGCCUUGAUGUGUAGGAUAGGUGGGAGGCUUUGAAGCGUGGACGCCAGUCUGCGUGGAGCCAACCUUGAAAUACCACCCUUUAAUGUUUGAUGUUCUAACGUUGGCCCCUNACCGGGGUUGCGGACAGUGUCUGGUGGGUAGUUUGACUGGGGCGGUCUCCUCCCAAAGCGUAACGGAGGAGCACGAAGGUUAGCUAAUCCUGGUCGGACAUCAGGAGGUUAGUGCAAUGGCAUAAGCUAGCUUGACUGCGAGCGUGACGGCGCGAGCAGGUGCGAAAGCAGGUCAUAGUGAUCCGGUGGUUCUGAAUGGAAGGGCCAUCGCUCAACGGAUAAAAGGUACUCCGGGGAUAACAGGCUGAUACCGCCCAAGAGUUCAUAUCGACGGCGGUGUUUGGCACCUCGAUGUCGGCUCAUCACAUCCUGGGGCUGAAGUAGGUCCCAAGGGUAUGGCUGUUCGCCAUUUAAAGUGGUACGCGAGCUGGGUUUAGAACGUCGUGAGACAGUUCGGUCCCUAUCUGCCGUGGGCGCUGGAGAAUUGAGGGGGGCUGCUCCUAGUACGAGAGGACCGGAGUGGACGCAUCACUGGUGUUCGGGUUGUCAUGCCAAUGGCACUGCCCGGUAGCUAAAUGCGGAAGAGAUAAGUGCUGAAAGCAUCUAAGCACGAAACUUGCCCCGAGAUGAGUUCUCCCUGAGACUUUAAGUCUCCUGAAGGAACGUUGAAGACGACGACGUUGAUAGGCCGGGUGUGUAAGCGCAGCGAUGCGUUGAGCUAACCGGUACUAAUGAACCGUGAGGCUUAACCUU
rnacentral:rRNA from 1 species